rnacentral:rRNA from 1 species
GACAAACGCUGGCGGCGUACCUAAGACAUGCAAGUCGAACGGGCGCUAACCCUUCGGGGUUGGUUGCGAGUGGCGGAUGGGUGAGUAACGCGUAGGAACCUGUCCUUAUGUGGGGGAUAACAGUGGGAAACCGCUGCUAAUACCGCAUGUGGUCAGUCAUCGAGAGGUGAUUGAAGAAAGGCGAAAGCCGCAGAAGGAGGGGCCUGCGUCCGAUUAGCUAGUUGGUGUGGUAACGGCACACCAAAGCGACGAUCGGUAGCUGGUCUGAGAGGAUGGUCAGCCACACUGGGACUGAGAUACGGCCCAGACUCCUACGGGAGGCAGCAGUUAGGAAUUUUGGUCAAUGGGGAACCCUGAACCAGCGACGCCGCGUGGAUGAAGAA